UUCAGAGUGGUUUAGUGGCUAUAACGACACGCUCACACUAAAAAAAGCUAGGAGCAAACCGUGUAGAUCGGGGGUUCAAAUCCCCUCUUGCGCA
rnacentral:tRNA from 1 species